UUCAUGUAAAGUCUCAGUCAAUAUCUAAAAGCCAAUGGAGGAAACACUGUUAAUUUUAAAAGUAUGAAUCUGAGUUGGGACUGAGUCUCUACAACCUUAUGAGCUGACUGAAGACAAGGUGGCCAUGAGCUGACUUCAAAGACAAGGCGGCCUUAAAAGUCAUGGGAAAUGGCAGCCGUGUGGAGCAGAGCCGUCAGGGACACUCGGGUCCUGCAAAAAUACACAGUCUUCACUGAAAAGAAUGCAACGGCCUUGGGACGUGCUCUGAUGUGGUAGUGUUUUCUUCUCCAUCUACCUUUGCCUGGUCAGUGCUCAGUUCACAGAGGAGCUGGCUGUGGAGGAAGCCACACCCUUUGGCAGGUGGACUGGAAACACUGUUGGCAAGAAGCAUGAGCCAUGCCAUCCUAGUUGUGGCUGCUGGGGUGCCAGCAUAUUACUGGUCCUUCAGGUUUCUAGCUUGUCAUCAUGGCUGACAACACCUCCUGGCUUUUAUUGAAGGCCUAAUUGGAGAGUGUCUGAUGCCCAGAGGGAUUCACUGGUUGACAACCUUGAAAAUGGUGGAAGAGAGAUAUUGAACUAAGCUCAGAAGGUGAGGAGACAAUACCACAGCUGAGGAGGUGAGGGGACAACACUACAGCCCAGGAAGUGCAAGAAUACCACCACAGCCCAGGAGGUGAGAGAAUGAUACCACAGCCCAGGAGGUGAGGGCAGCAACACCACAGCCCAGGAGGUGGGGAAAACUGGAGCAGCAAGCUCUCGUGCCUGGUCUCAAGCUCUGGAAUUGUGGACUGUGGCAAGACCGUGCAGAUAUCUGCAAUUGCCACCCAGCGUAGAAGCUGAGGAGCCAAACUCUUGGUCUCCAUUAUUCUUUUCGGAUGGGGAUGGAGCGUAGGCUCCUCUGCCAGUGCCUGUCCUUCACCAACUGUUCCUAAUUAUGAGAGUAUUGGAUGGAACCUAGUUUGAUAAACAAAU